AAUUCGAUGCAACGCGAAGAACCUUACCUGGUCUUGACAUCCACAGAACCUUGUAGAGAUACGAGGGUGCCUUCGGGAACUGUAAGACAGGUGCUGCAUGGCUGUCGUCAGCUCGUGUUGUGAAAUGUUGGGUUAAGUCCCGCAACGAGCGCAACCCUUAUCCUUUGUUGCCAGCGGUCCGGCCGGGAACUCAAAGGAGACUGCCAGUGAUAAACUGGAGGAAGGUGGGGAUGACGUCAAGUCAUCAUGGCCCUUACGACCAGGGCUACACACGUGCUACAAUGGCGCAUACAAAGAGAAGCGACCUCGCGAGAGCAAGCGGACCUCAUAAAGUGCGUCGUAGUCCGGAUUGGAGUCUGCAACUCGACUCCAUGAAGUCGGAAUCGCUAGUAAUCGUGGAUCAGAAUGCCACGGUGAAUACGUUCCCGGGCCUUGUACACACCGCCCGUCACACCAUGGGAGUGGGUUGCAAAAGAAGUAGGUAGCUUAACCUUAGGGAGGGCGCUUACCACUUUGUGAUUCAUGACUGGGGUGAAGUCGUAACAAGGUAACCGUAGGGGAACCUGCGGUUGGAUCACCUCCUUACCUUAAAGAAGC
rnacentral:rRNA from 1 species